rnacentral:sRNA from 1 species
AGUGGCUGGUCUUGCAGCUGAGUAGGGGUUCUGUCUUUUUGCUUCCUAGAUUGAAGAGGAAAAGAAAAGAACUGCCCGAACAGACUACUGGCUACAGCCUGAAAUUAUUGUGAAAAUUAUAACCAAGAAACUGGGAGAGAAAUAUCAUAAGAAAAAGGCUAUUGUUAAGGAAGUAAUCGACAAAUAUACAGCUGUUGUGAAGAUGAUUGAUUCUGGAGACAAGCUGAAACUUGACCAGACUCAUUUAGAGACAGUAAUUCCAGCACCAGGAAAAAGAAUUCUAGUUUUAAAUGGAGGUUACAGAGGAAAUGAAGGUACCCUAGAAUCCAUCAAUGAGAAGACUUUUUCAGCUACUAUCAUCAUUGAAACUGGCCCUUUAAAAGGACGCAGAGUUGAAGGAAUUCAAUAUGAAGACAUUUCUAAACUUGCCUGAGUUUGAAAAUUUGUUAACAAUACAUUAAAAUCUUAAAGCAUCAAAUUGGUGUUCGCCAAGGCAUUAUGAGACUCUACUGUGUUAGGGUAUUCUUUUGUAUAAAAGAAACAGGUUUUUGAAAAUAUUACUUUAUAGUUGUUCAGCUAAACUUUGAGAACAAUUUACUUAUGUCUCAUGAAGUAUCAAAACUAUGUAAUUUUGUCUUUGUUAUUUUUGUUUCCUUUGUAAUUUACUUGAUGAAUUUAUAUCUUCAUUAAAGAAUGUU